AGUGAACGCUGGCGGUAGGCCUAACACAUGCAAGUCGAACGGCAGCACAGUAAGAGCUUGCUCUUACGGGUGGCGAGUGGCGGACGGGUGAGGAAUACAUCGGAAUCUACUUUUUCGUGGGGGAUAACGUAGGGAAACUUGCGCUAAUACCGCAUACGACCUACGGGUGAAAGCAGGGGAUCUUCGGACCUUGCGCGAUUGAAUGAGCCGAUGUCGGAUUAGCUAGUUGGCGGGGUAAAGGCCCACCAAGGCGACGAUCCGUAGCUGGUCUGAGAGGAUGAUCAGCCACACUGGAACUGAGACACGGUCCAGACCCCUACGGGAGGCAGCAGUGGGGAAUAUUGGACAAUGGGCGCAAGCCUGAUCCAGCCAUACCGCGUGGGUGAAGAAGGCCUUCGGGUUGUAAAGCCCUUUUGUUGGGAAAGAAAAGCAGCAGGUUAAUACCCCGCUGUUCUGACGGUACCCAAAGAAUAAGCACCGGCUAACUUCGUG
rnacentral:rRNA from 1 species